rnacentral:rRNA from 1 species
UACGAAGGGGGCUAGCGUUGUUCGGAAUCACUGGGCGUAAAGGGCGCGUAGGCGGCCGAUUAAGUCGGGGGUGAAAGCCUGUGGCUCAACCACAGAAUUGCCUUCGAUACUGAUUGGCUUGAGACCGGAAGAGGUCAGUGGAACUGCGAGUGUAGAGGUGAAAUUCGUAGAUAUUCGCAAGAACACCAGUGGCGAAGGCGGCUGACUGGUCCGGUUCUGACGCUGAGGCGCGAAAGCGUGGGGAGCAAACAGG